CCUGCACAUCAUACACACAGUCAGUACCAGAGCCACUUCCCGUGCUGCUAACCGCUAGCAGGCUAAUUCACAGAGCGGACAGUAAGUGAUCCUCCGCAGCACUCGGUGUGUGAGAGCACUGGGGUCUGACACACGGCCGCUUCACCCAGUGCAGUGCGCUAACGCUGGAGGAGGGACUCUGACUCACUGCGCCCUCAGACUCGCGCUGUUCCAUCUCUUUCUGUGUGAUGUGUACCUGCUGCCUGCGUCACUUCCGGCGGCUCACCGGAAACUCCUCCUGUCGCCUUGAUCCUCCAUAGUGGUCAGCACUGCUGCCUCGCAGCUGUAGGGUUGGGGUUCGAAUCAUCGAUUGGCCCCCCAUCCAGGGUUUUUCCCUCCUUGUGCCCCGAGCUCCCUGGGACAGGCUCCAGGCUCCAGGCUCCAGGCUCCCCGUGACCCUGUGUAGGAUGAGCGAUACGGAAAAUGGAUGGAUAUUCACCAUAUAUUUUUCACUCUUCUUCAUUAACUCCAGAUAAUAGCCUAUAUGGCUUCAACUUUUAAAUAAAAAACUAACUUGAUGUGAUUAUCUUAUGUAGAACUAAAUUUUAAAUAAAGCCAAAUAUUAAAUAAUGGUGUUAAAUAAUGACUUUUACACUAUUUAUCUAUAGUGCAUUAUACUUCAGCAUUGGAGGAGAAAAUAAACCUCUGUUCCUAAGAGAAUGAAAGUAGUUUGUAAUUGGUGCUGUAUGAAUUUACACAUUAAAACUUUACUGAAGUGCUGUUAUGUCGCCUGCAGAUGGCGCUAUUUAAUAAAGUCUCCUACAAACUUAUCCUGUCUGCUUUUUUGUCAGUAUUAUUCCUCUGUUCAUGAUGUAUGGAAAUUAGCACUACUGUUAGGUUUUCUGUAGAUCUGCAAUAAAGCUGAGGAUCGAUAUAACGCAGGAUAAGAAUGUAAAUCCAUCCACAUGAUGUAAAAGUAAAUGUGAUUUAUCAGACCAGGUUCUUUCUAUCAGAGCCAGCUUUAACUUUUCAGCAGUUUGUGCUACAGUGGCUCUUCUGUGGGAUCGGACCAGACGGACCUUCACUCCCCACACGCAUCAGUGAUCCUUGGGAGCCCAUGACCCUGUCGUCAGUUCACUGCUUGUCCUUCCUUGGACCACUUUUGGUAGGUACUAACCACUGCACACCGAGAACACCCCACAAGACCUGCUGCUCUGGAAAUGCUCUGACUCAGUCAUCUAACCAUCACAAUUUGGCCGUUGUCAAAGUCGCUCAGAUCCUUACGCUUGCCCAUUUUUCCUCCCGAACUGACUGUUCACUUGCUGCCUAAUAUAUCCCACCCCUUUACAGGUGCCACUGUAACGAGAUAAUCACUGUGAGAUAAUCACUUCACCUCUCAGUGGUUUUAAUGUUAUGGCUGAUCGGUGGAAGUGAUGAGUGUAGGGGUAUAUGAAGAGUGUAGGGGUAUAUGAAGAGUGUAGGGGUAUAUAGCAUAUAUAUAUAUAUGCUACCUCUGGGCAAAAUUAUCCGUAAACAUGGUAUUAGCUUCCACUGUUAUGCUGAUGACACACAGUUGUAUGUUUCAGCAAAGCCAGAUGACAGACACCAGCUUAAUAAAGUUGAGGAAUGUGUAAAAGACAUUAGAAACUGGAUGCUUAUUAACUUUCUCUUACUUAAUUCUGACAAGACAGAAGUACUUGUACUAAAGUACUUGUGUCUUUUAUGAUCCGCCACGCCUACAUAGAUCAAAAGGUGCAGGCUAUUUGUUGGUACCUCGAAUAGUGAAGGCUACAGCUGGGGGUAGAGCUUUCUCUUACAAAGCCCCACAGUUAUGGAACAGCCUUCCACUUAGUGUUCGGGGCUCAGACACAGUCUCAGUGUUUAAGUCUCGGCUGAAAACACAUUUGUUUAGUCAAGCCUUUAGUGAAUAGUUUUUUCUUAGGUACAGGAGCAGGUCUGGAGGGUUUCACAGGCAUAGAGUGUUGUGGUGAACUGGGAUGUUUGGAUGCUGUCGCCCCCCCACUCUCACACGUUCACUCAGGUUUGUCGACGGUGGAGUGGCUGGAGCUUUAUGUCCCAGGACUCCCUCAUGUCUGUGUUAGCUUCUGGCUCUCCCUUUUAGUUAUGCUGUCAUAGCUAGUCUUGCCGGAGUCCCUGCUUGCACUCUGCAUGCAAAGUACAUCGUGCUUAACCUCUCUCUCCAUCUCUCUCUCUCCCUCACUCUCUGUCGAGCUACACAUGCUACUUCUGAGAUGCCAGUGAUCCUGACCCCUUCUGCUCCUCCUCGCUGCCUGACCCAUCCUGAUGCUCUACUUCUGGUUGGAGUUCUCAUCGGAUGAGUU